AGUAAGGUCAGCUAAUUAAGCUUUUGGGCUCAUGCCCCGACAAUGUUGGUUAAAACCCCCCCCCUACUA
rnacentral:tRNA from 1 species